UACGGAGGGUGCAAGCGUUAUCCGGAUUCACUGGGUUUAAAGGGUGCGUAGGCGGGUUGGUACGUCAGUGGUGAAAUCUUCAAGCUUAACUUGGAAACUGCCGUUGAUACUAUCAAUCUUGAAUAUUGUGGAGGUAAGCGGAAUAUGUCAUGUAGCGGUGAAAUGCUUAGAUAUGACAUAGAACACCGAUAGCGAAGGCAGCUUGCUACACAAUAAUUGACGCUGAGGCACGAAAGCGUGGGGAUCAAACAGG
rnacentral:rRNA from 1 species